CCUGACUGCUAUCGGAUUGAUACUAAGCCAUGCGAGUCAUUGUAGUAAUACAAGGCAGACGGCUCAGUAACGCGUAGUCAACCUACCCUAUGGACGAGGAUAAUCUCGGGAAACUGAGAAUAAUACUCGAUAGACCAUUAUGCCUGGAACGGUUUAUGGUUAAAAUGAUUCGUCGCCAUAGGAUGGGACUGCGGCCUAUCAGCUUGUUGGUGAGGUAAUGGCCCACCAAGGCGAUUACAGGUACGGGCUCUGAGAGGAGAAGCCCGGAGAUGGGUACUGAGACAAGGACCCAGGCCCUAUGGGGCGCAGCAGGCGAGAAAACUUUGCAAUGUGCGAAAGCACGACAAGGUUAGUCCGAGUGAUUUCUGCUAAAGAAAUCUUUUGCAAGUUAUAAAACCACUAGUGAAUAAGGGGUGGGCAAGUUCUGGUGUCAGCCGCCGCGGUAAAACCAGCACCUCAAGUGGUCAGGAUGAUUAUUGGGCCUAAAGCAUCCGUAGCCUGCUCUGUUAGUUUUCGGUUAAAUCCAUGUGCUCAACACAUGGGCUGCCGAAAAUACUGCAGGGCUAGGGAGUGGGAGAGGUAGACGGUACUCAGUAGGAAGGGGUAAAAUCCUUUGAUCUAUUGAUGACCACCUGUGGCGAAGGCGGUCUACCAGAACACGUUCGACGGUGAGGGAUGAAAGCUGGGGGAGCAAACCGGAUUAGAUACCCGGGUAGUCCCAGCUGUAAACGAUGCGGACUCGAUGAUGCAUUGGCUUAUUGCCAAUGCAGUGUCGCAGGGAAGCCGUUAAGUCUGCCGCCUGGGAAGUACGUACGCAAGUAUGAAACUUAAAGGAAUUGGCGGGGGAGCACCACAAGGGGUGAAGCCUGCGGUUC
rnacentral:rRNA from 1 species